AUUGAACGCUGGCGGCAGGCCUAACACAUGCAAGUCGAACGGUAACAGGGAGCAGCUUGCUGCUCUGCUGACGAGUGGCGGACGGGUGAGUAAUGUCUGGGAAACUGCCUGAUGGAGGGGGAUAACUACUGGAAACGGUAGCUAAUACCGCAUAACGUCUUCGGACCAAAGUGGGGGACCUUCGGGCCUCAUGCCAUCAGAUGUGCCCAGAUGGGAUUAGCUAGUAGGUGGGGUAACGGCUCACCUAGGCGACGAUCCCUAGCUGGUCUGAGAGGAUGACCAGCCACACUGGAACUGAGACACGGUCCAGACUCCUACGGGAGGCAGCAGUGGGGAAUAUUGCACAAUGGGCGCAAGCCUGAUGCAGCCAUGCCGCGUGUAUGAAGAAGGCCUUCGGGUUGUAAAGUACUUUCAGCGGGGAGGAAGGUGUUGUGGUUAAUAACCACAGCAAUUGACGUUACCCGCAGAAGAAGCACCGGCUAACUCCGUGCCAGCAGCCGCGGUAAUACGGAGGGUGCAAGCGUUAAUCGGAAUUACUGGGCGUAAAGCGCACGCAGGCGGUCUGUUAAGUCAGAUGUGAAAUCCCCGGGCUCAACCUGGGAACUGCAUUUGAAACUGGCAGGCUUGAGUCUCGUAGAGGGGGGUAGAAUUCCAGGU
rnacentral:rRNA from 1 species